GCGGCUCACUUGAGAAGCGCCCGAGAGGAAAUUUGGAUUCCCGACUCUAGUGACGAGAUGUGGCGAAUCCUGUGGAAAGGGCCGAGGUCACCAAAUUCUGCAAGAAAUGGACGAUCAAAAACCCAGAAAAGCCAGCAGUUGCCUUGAAAACUCUGCAGAAAGUAUCAGAGCUAAAAAAAUCAAAGUUUCACAAAAUUAUAGCUGUUAUUUUGAUCAUUAAGAAACUGCGCCACAACAUUUUAAAUAUGCAGUUUUAAUUCAGCUGGACCAUCUGCUAGUUCUGCGACAAGGACCGUAAGACUGUCAGUUCUUACAAAGCUCGGUAGCAGCGCAACUAACGAAUGGGUCGGCAGACCUUCACAUUUAAACACGGUUUAAAACUUCGGAGCAUUUACUUUGAAGUUGCAGAAUGGAGAAUCAAAAGGUAACGUGAACUGGAACUACGGGGCACAAUACUUGCAUUGUCCAUUUCGAAAGUCAACUCAGACACCAGUGUCCGUAAACGCACGCACAAAACAGCCUAUUGUCAACUACCAGUGCAACAGACAUCUCCGCACAGACAUUGCUCAGUGAAUCCGAGCGCAGCUUUUACAAAUUGAGACAACAAUGCUGGUUUUGAAAGCUCGACACAAUUUGGGUUUUGUGAGGUUGCCUUUCUCCACUUGCUGAGCCCAGCUGCACAUAUGGAAUACAGCGUGUAGAACACGGAAUGACAAUGGCACCAACUGACAACCACGACAAAAAAAAACGCCUCCAUACCUCUCCCUCAAUCUCGGGAUGCACAAGUCUCUUUGAGAAUGGCUGAAUAACGCCGAUACCGACUUUGUACCUCGUUAGUAUGCACGCCUCUAACAUCUCUCACUACCGACUCGCUCCUUUUGUGUUGUUUUGUCUUCCUACUGUAUAUUGUCUAAAGAUAGACUAACACAACUGUCAACGUGUGAAAUUUAGAAGGGGAUGAGGCUGCACAGAUUCUAAUGCAUUUAAUUGACUUGGUAGUUGCCUAUAAGAGCUUCCCAUCCCUCCCUGCCCUAUUAGGUUACUGAGGUACGAAAAACUUGCUUUAUUUUCCGUGAUACACAAAUGCCUGUUGAACAUUGAAAUUCCCGUUUAGCUUAAACUUGUUUUAGAGAAAAUCAGAGUUUGGUUUUGACCGUUGUCGAUUCCCAGAGUGAUAUUAAUGGUUUAGUUUGUUGGGAAAAUAUUUCUGCACACAGGACUUUCGGGCUGAAUAGCACAUCUCCGGUUCAAUUAGUUUUGUUUUCUCGAAGUGCUCCUUGAAGCUGAAUAUUUCGGCGAACCCUUCCUCUCUGUUGUAAUUCUAGGUUCUUGGUUGAAGGAUUUUGGGGCAGGGGUGCAUUUGAAAUCGGGAGUCCGGGAAGGUGUUUUUGAUAAAUUUCCAACUAACCGCCGGCUCUGUACAGAAGAAGUUAGAAAGGUGGUGGCGAGCUGGCGUCCCGCAGAAGCUAACGGACGAGGACUUUAGGAAAAUUCUGCGAAGCGGUCAGUUUGGAGGCACGGCUGGCCCGUUUGAACGGGCUGUGUUGAAUGCAGUGCGCCCGAGAUUCGGAGCCCGCUGAAGAUGUUGAAUUAAACCUGAAAAUCGCCAGUAGGUUUCCCAGGAAAGUCAGCUGGGAAUGAAGAGUUUGUACGUGCUUUGAACCGCUGCAGCCUCCCGACAAACAAAAUAAAGUUUUUUUUAAAUUCAAGAAUACGUCUCAGGCAAACUAUCGUGCGAUUGUUAACAGUUUUGUAGUCUCCCUUACUGACCCUAGAUUUGGAUUCUGCGAAUUUCAACGUUUUCUCCAAAUUGGAAGAAUUUGAAUGGAGUUUGUAGACGACUGGACGAAUAAUGUGUGAUCGAUCUACUGGACUCUCACAUUCGUUCAUCACAUUCUGCCUUGCCUUCGCAGUCAUAACACAGUGUGGGAAGUGAGGCAGAUUCAAUAGAAAGCUUGAAACGCCUCUUCGUGACUGCUUCGUACGUAAAACAUUUUCAAGAGUUAUAUUUAAAAUGAACUCUGUUGACUCUUCCAAACCUUUCGGCAGCUGGGAGACCCCUUCGGUUAAGUUG